GACGAACGCUGGCGGCGUGCUUAACACAUGCAAGUCGAACGGACGAGUGAGAUAAGUUUACUUAACUCACAAGUUAGUGGCGGACGGGUGAGUAACACGUGGAUAAUCUACCUGCAACACCGGGAUAACGCUGUGAAAACGGUGCUAAUACCGGAUACGUUCCCUUGUGCGCAUGUAUGAGGGAAGAAAGCUCAGGCGGUUGCAGAUGAGUCCGCGGCUGAUUAGCUAGUUGGUGAGGUAAAGGCUCACCAAGGCGAUGAUCAGUAGCCGGCCUGAGAGGGUGAACGGCCACACUGGGACUGAGACACGGCCCAGACUCCUACGGGAGGCAGCAGUGGGGAAUCUUCCGCAAUGGGCGCAAGCCUGACGGAGCAACGCCGCGUGGGUGAAGAAGGCCUUCGGGUUGUUAAAGCCCUGUCUUAUGGAAGAAGUCAGUGACGGUACCAUAGGAGGAAGACCACGGACUAACUACGUGCCCAGAAGCCGCGGUAAAAAAGCGGUAACUCU
rnacentral:rRNA from 1 species